CUUGGAGAGAGAUCACAUCAGCUGACACCAGCUUAUGCCGAAAUAACAGAGCAGCAUCACUGACACCGCCUGAACCAGCACCGAUCCAGAAGCAGCUGUAGAACCUGAGUAUCUCCAUCCUGCUGAGAAGUCCAGAGCAUCACAACACCAAGAGAAAUACAAGAUGGCUACCGUUCCUCGAGAUUUCGAAAAAGACAAGACCAGAGAAAAGACGCUGCAUGGCAAUAAAGACACUGUCUAUAAACAUGACAGAAAUGAUG